UACAGAGGUCUCAAGCGUUGUUCGGAUUCAUUGGGCGUAAAGGGUGCGUAGGCGGCGCGGUAAGUCGGGUGUGAAAUCUUGGAGCUUAACUCCGAAACUGCACUCGAUACUGCCGUGCUUGAGGACUGGAGAGGAGACUGGAAUUUACGGUGUAGCGGUGAAAUGCGUAGAUAUCGUAAGGAAGACCAGUGGCGAAGGCGGGUCACUGGCCCGGUACUGACGCUGAGGUGCGAAAGCGUGGGGAGCAAACAGG
rnacentral:rRNA from 1 species